ACGCUCGACACCUACGGGAGCAGCAGUGGGGGAUAUUGCACAAUGGAGGAAACUCUGAUGCAGCGACGCCGCGUGAGGGAAGAAAGUUUUCGGAUUGUAAACCUCUGUCUUCGGUGACGAAAAUGACGGUAGCCGAGGAGGAAGCCACGGCUAACUACGUGCUAGCAGCCGGACGGUAAUCUGAGGCGGGCGUGGACGAAGGC
rnacentral:rRNA from 1 species